GCCAGCCACCCCUCUCCCUCCCUCUGCAAUAAAUGAGCUGGCCGCCCAAUUCCCUCUGUCAGCCGCCUGCCUUCCUCCCACAGCUCUCCAUGAACCGGCUGCCCCCUCCCUCCUUCAGCAGCCUGCCUGCCUCAGUCCUCAGUGAUCCCAAUGCCUGCCUCUGCUCUCAGGCAGCCGAUCACCGUGGGGGCUGAACAUAUGUAUAUUUUGAUAUAAUACACAUAUAUUAAUAUACAUUUGUGCAAAUAUAUAGAUGCAUAAUACUCCCACAAAUCACCAAAUCACAUAGAUAAAG